rnacentral:ncRNA from 1 species
GAAAAAGCGUUGAGAAGGAGAAGUAAGUGGCGCAUGCUCUCAAGAGAGGACCAUCACCGGCUGAAAAUGGUCUGAGCCUAGGCAAAACUGAAAUGCACCUUUGAGCAUAAAGCUGAACAUAUAGUAGGCUUUAUCGAGUCGUUCCCGUUAAAGGACGUUCAGAGUGGAAGGUUUUUUGCCUUCAAUCAGAGUGGAACCACGCAAAUUAGGCGUCUCUGUC